CCUACGGGUGGCAGCAGUGGGGAAUAUUGGACAAUGGGCGAAAGCCUGAUCCAGCCCUGCCGCGUGUGUGAAGAAGGCCUUCGGGUUGUAAAGCACUUUCAGUGGGGAAGAAAGCCUUGGGGCUAAUACCCUCGAGGAAGGACAUCACCCACAGAAGAAGCACCGGCUAACUCCGUGCCAGCAGCCGCGGUAAUACGGAGGGUGCGAGCGUUAAUCGGAAUUACUGGGCGUAAAGCGCGCGUAGGCGGUCUGAUAAGCCGGUUGGGAAAGCCCCGGGCUCAACCUGGGAACGGCAUCCGGAACUGUCAGGCUAGAGUGCAGGAGAGGAAGGUAGAAUUCCCGGUGUAGCAGUGAAAUGCGUAGAGAUCGGGAGGAAUACCAGUGGCGAAGGCGGCCUUCUGGACUGACACUGACGCUGAGGUGCGAAAGCGUGGGUAGCAAACAGGAUUAGAUACCCGAGUAGUC
rnacentral:rRNA from 1 species